rnacentral:rRNA from 1 species
AAUGAACGCUGGCGGCGUGCCUAAUACAUGCAAGUCGAGCGAACGGACGAUAAGCUUGCGCCUUUGACGUUGGCGGCUGACGGGCGGGUAACGCGUACAUCACCUACCUCUAUUCCUGGGAGGACUACGGGAAACCGGAGCUAAUACCAGCUCAUAUUUCCUACCGCUUGGUUCGAUAGUUAAUGGGGGCUUUGCUAUCUGUUUUAGAUGGUCCUGCGCCGUAUUAGCUAGUUGGUAAGGUAACGGCUUACCAAGGCAACGAUACGUAGCCGAGCUGAGAGGGUGAUCGGCAACACUGGAACUGAGACACGGUCCAGACUCCUACGGGAGGCAGCAGUAGGGAAUCUUGAGCAAUGGGCGAAAGCCUGACGGAGCAAUACCGCGUGAGUGAAGAAGGCCUUCGGAUCGUAAAACUCUUUUAUUAGGGAAGAACAAAAGUGUAAGUAAAUGCGCCCGUCCUGACGGUACCUAAUCAGAAAGCAACGGCUAACUACGUG